GUAGCGCCCAUGCACAAACGUGCACGGUGAGGUGGAGCCGCUCGGAACAGCAUCGGUUCAUUGGCAGGUGCUCCUCCAGUGGCCGUGACAAUGACCAGCCAACGGAGUCUUUCCACGGUAUUUCCUAAAAGCCUGCCAUCCCUGAAGGGUCCGAGCGCAGCCCUUGCCUCUGCAAGUGAACUACUAAGUUGUAGCUGUCCAGAAGCAAGUCCCAAGUUUUCUGUAAGGACACAACAAAGCCAUCCAGAAUACCCCGACUUCUCUUCUAAGCUGGGAUCAAACUUUUCCUCUUCCCUGGAAGACUUAAAAACAAAACCUGUGACGUUUUCUAGGCGUUAGCAUGGUCAUGGCACAGGAGCACCGCAGUGGCAAAUCACCCUUAAUGUUUCUUUUCCCCCAAGGGAAUGGAUGCUCUGAAAUAGCUUCUUAUCAAGACUGACUUUACCUU
rnacentral:lncRNA from 1 species